UACGUAGGGUGCGGGCGUUAAUCGGAAUUACUGGGCGUAAAGGGUGCGCAGGCGGUUCUGCAAGUCAGGCGUGAAAUCCCCGGGCUUAACCUGGGAAUGGCGCUUGAAACUACGGGACUGGAGUAUGGCAGAGGGAGGUGGAAUUCCACGUGUAGCGGUGAAAUGCGUAGAGAUGUGGAGGAACACCGAUGGCGAAGGCAGCCUCCUGGGCCAAUACUGACGCUCAUGCACGAAAGCGUGGGGAGCAAACAGG
rnacentral:rRNA from 1 species